UCGGCCCCAGCCACAACACAGAAGUCUACCACCGAGACAGGUUGGCUGGCUCAACCACAUGCAAGCGCCCCUCUGCUGAUCUUGAAGGCCACAGACCCACCUAAAUAUGGCAAGAUUCAGGCGGAGCCGCAGCCGCAGCCGCAGCCUCUACCGUCGCCGGCGGAGGAGCCGCCGGGGCGGCCGCCAAACCAGGUCCAGGAAGCUUAGCCGGCGGAGCCGGAGAAGAGGGAGAAGCAGGAGGAGGAAAGGCAGACGCAGCAGGAGAUCUUCUCGCAGAAGCAGGAGAAGAAACUGAGAGCCACUCUCCACGCUCCUGCUCGAGAACACAUGCCACCCGAGUCAUCUGAGACCCCCUCGACCUCGCCUGCCUGAGAUCCAGACCGACCCACCCCCCCAACAUUGUGCAGACUGACCGAUGACUGCCCCGAGGACCAGGAGCCUGCUUCUGAACAAAUGCCACCUGCGUGACAAUAAACCUUGAAUACUCA